rnacentral:rRNA from 1 species
GACGAACGCUGGCGGCGUGCUUAACACAUGCAAGUCGAGCGGAAAGGCCACUUCGGUGGUACUCGAGCGGCGAACGGGUGAGUAACACGUGAGUAAUCUGCCCUUGGCUUCGGGAUAGCCACCGGAAACGGUGAUUAAUACCGGAUAUGACCAUCUUUCGCAUGAUUGGUGGUGGAAAGUUUUUCGGCCAGGGAGGUGCUCGCGGCCUAUCAGCUUGAUGGUGAGGUAAUGGCUCACCAUGGCUUCGACGGGUAGCCGGCCUGAGAGGGUGACCGGUCACACUGGGACUGAGACACGGCCCAGACUCCUACGGGAGGCAGCAGUGGGGAAUAUUGGACAAUGGGCGGAAGCCUGAUCCAGCAACGCCGCGUGAGGGAUGACGGCCUUCGGGUUGUAAACCUCUUUCAGCAGGGACGAAGCGCAAGUGACGGUACCUGCAGAAGAAGCACCGGCCAACUACGUGCCAGCCGCCGCGGUAACAC